UCACGGAGAGUUUGAUCCUGGCUCAGGACGAACGCUGGCGGCGUGCUUAACACAUGCAAGUCGAACGAUGAAGCNCUUCGGGGUGGAUUAGUGGCGAACGGGUGAGUAACACGUGGGCAAUCUGCCCUUCACUCUGGGACAAGCCCUGGAAACGGGGUCUAAUACCGGAUAACACUCUGUCCCGCAUGGGACGGGGUUAAAAGCUCCGGCGGUGAAGGAUGAGCCCGCGGCCUAUCAGCUUGUUGGUGGGGUGAUGGCCUACCAAGGCGACGACGGGUAGCCGGCCUGAGAGGGCGACCGGCCACACUGGGACUGAGACACGGCCCAGACUCCUACGGGAGGCAGCAGUGGGGAAUAUUGCACAAUGGGCGAAAGCCUGAUGCAGCGACGCCGCGUGAGGGAUGACGGCCUUCGGGUUGUAAACCUCUUUCAGCAGGGAAGAAGCGAAAGUGACGGUACCUGCAGAAGAAGCGCCGGCUAACUACGUGCCAGCAGCCGCGGUAAUACGUAGGGCGCGAGCGUUGUCCCGAAUUAUUGGGCGUAAAG
rnacentral:rRNA from 1 species